rnacentral:misc_RNA from 1 species
UUGAAUGAACUUAGAGUCGGUUGUCGCUGGCUGUCUUUUGCAGCAUGUGCACGCCUUCUCUUUUCAUCCACACAUACCCCUGUGCACUUGUGAGACUGGAGGCCGUAAAAAAGCCUUCAGUCUGCUAAAUUCAUAUACAACUCAUUAAUAGAACUGAAUGUACUUGAUGUAACGCAUCAUUGAAC